ACACACAGGGCCGCCAUCAGGGCAUGACAACCGUGACAAUUGUCACGGGCCCGGCGGCCCUGGGGGGCCCGGCCGCCCGGGCCCCACGUGGAUCAGCGGAACUGCCGCCGGUGCAUCUGCACCGGGGCCCACACGCUGAUGGGGCCCAUCAGGUGGCCCAAUCAUUUAGGGCCACCCAAUGGGCCCUAUUAUCUUCAGGGGCCCGUUUAGCGCUG